UGGGGGUGCAGUUCUCUUUCGGGAAUCCUCAUUAGUGUUCGCGACAAUGGACAGAAUGGCCGUCCCCAAACCUUUACAUUUAAUCCUGAGGACGGCACAGCUACCAUCAACGACCUUCAGGACUGUACUACGUAUCGCAUUAAAGCGGCUUUUCAGAACAAGGAUGAGUUGGGGAUCUAUUCAGAUGUGUUGUCUGUGAGCACAUCUAAGAUACGACCUGCAAGUGUAGAGACCUUACAGACGUCGCCAGCAACCACCCACAUUGAUGUCAGCUGGGUAGUAUCUUCAAGUAUAUGUGAUCCUGACUACUUUAUCUUACGAUACAGUCUCUACAGAAAACUUGCAUGCCCAUCACCAGAAACCACCCUUGUACAAAUUGAAGUCAACACUACAUCUACACUAUUUAGGCUAGAUGGGUUAGAGCCUUAUUCGCGGUACAAAAUUUCUGUUAUCGCAGUAAAUAUUAUUGGGGAGAGUGAACCGACGACUCGCAGUGUUGACACAGUGGCGGGACCACCGGCUGUCAUCAGGAACGUUACGGUUAAUCCAGAAAGAACGUCUUCAACACGACUAGUGUUCACCUGGGAACCUCUCAAUUGUAAAAAUGUGAAUGGGGAUUUUUGGUACUACUAUCCAAGGAUCUUCAAGUUCGGAAAUAAAAAAAUAAUUAAUUAUUACUACUUUGAUAAUGACAUAACAGUAUCAUCAGUAAAGUUUGAAAAUCUUGAGUCAUGUACGACGUAUCAACUGAUUAUCUACGCUAGAAACAGAGGUGUAAGCGAUGAAGGAGACUUUUCUGUCACAACCGGCUUGACAGGAGUUACUUGUAAGUACCAAACAGGGGCGACCCUGGAAUAUUUUGAAUGAUGAGGCGUGAGAUCAAGGAAUACAUACUCCUAGGUAGAGAUAAUCUCUUAACCCUACUGAACUAGGCUAUUUUGCUACAUGAAAGUACCCCCCCCUCCGUUCCUCAGAUCUCGGGUCAAAAGGGACCAAAUGCC